rnacentral:rRNA from 1 species
UACGGGGGGGGCAAGCGUUGUUCGGAAUUACUGGGCGUAAAGGGCUCGUAGGCGGCCAACUAAGUCAGACGUGAAAUCCCUCGGCUUAACCGGGGAACUGCGUCCGAUACUGGAUGGCUUGAGGUUGGGAGAGGGAUGCGGAAUUCCAGGUGUAGCGGUGAAAUGCGUAGAUAUCUGGAGGAACACCGGUGGCGAAGGCGGCAACCUGGGCCAAUUCUGACGCUGAGUGAGCGAAAGCCAGGGGAGCAAACGGG